AACCUGUGGACAGCCACACAGAAGAUUUAUGGCAAACACAGUCCUCUCCCCACAGUCCCCUCCAUGACAGGCCCCAGGACUUUUACUCUGCCCUUCAACCGUGGUGCUGGAGGUGGAAGGGGGCAGAAAUCGGAACCAAGGUUUCAGUCCCACCAGGAGAGAAGUGGACCCCAGUUUGGAUGAGUUCUGAGACACACAAGGUUUCUGAUGACAGGCCUGGGGUACAGCUCAGUGGCAGAACACUUGCCCGUCUUGUGUAAUGCUCUGGGUUUCAUCCCCAGAGAUGGGGCAGCAUCAAAGAGAAAGUGAAAGGAACGGCUAACUAGCGGGCCCACGGUACGUACGUCAGGCAGCGACUCAAUGAACUGGUGGAUGUUGGCCUCCUUGGCCGCCCUCACGAUCUCUUCCUGGGACACGACCCUGCUGUUGUCUCCAUAGGCGAUGUUCUCGGCGAUGCUGCAGUCAAACAGGAUGGGCUCUUGGGACACAAUGCCCAGGUGUGCUCGGAGCCACUGGACAUUCAGUUGCUUUACUUCUUUGCCAUCUAGAAACUGGGAGCAAGGGUUCACAGGUCAACUUCAGCACCAGCGCGAUUCAGAUUUAGUAAAGCUACUGCCGUUAUUUCAUAGUACAAAUGACAUUAAGGAAAAGGCUGUCUGGUUGAUUUUUUAAUUGACAUGAGAUAAUGGGUUAAGUAUUAUAUUUUUAUGUGUAUAUAUCAGUCAAUGUACUUUCCUUUGAUUUGUCUCUCACUACCUCUACAACUCUACAGCCUGAGAUAAGUUCUCACUCUGUAGCCCAGGCUGGCCUGGAGCUCACACUGUAACUCGGGCAAGUCUUGAAUCCACGGGAAUUCUCCUUUCUCAGCUUCCAAAAUACUGAGACUAUAGAGAUAAACUACCAGCAGCAGGAUCUUACAACUCUUUUUACACAAAUAUUUAAUAAUAUAUUUAAUGAAACAGUA